ACCCAGAUGACAAGUCCCAAAUGAGACGAAACGCGCUUCCUGGAU
rnacentral:hammerhead_ribozyme from 1 species